AUGUUCAUUUGAGAAGUCACUUAAGAAGCUACCAGAUGAGUAGGCAUUGGAAUCAUCAACCCCUGCUCAUCAAAACAGCAGCUCCGGGCGAGGUGGCGGAGGCAGUGAAAGUGGCGAUAGACGCGGGGUUCCGGCACUUUGACUGCGCUUACUUGUACCACAACGAGAGUGAGGUCGGAGCCGGGAUCCAGUGCAAGAUCAAGGAGGGCGUGGUGACCCGGCAGGACCUGUUUGUCGUCAGUAAGCUCUGGUGCACCAGACAUGAGAAGUCCUUGGUGAAGGCGGCCUGCACCAAGAGUCUCAAGGCCUUGAAGCUGGAUUACCUGGACCUCUACCUCAUGCACUGGCCCAUGGGCUUCAAGCCCGGGGAGGAAGACCUGCCCCUGGACCGCAACGGCAUGGUGCUGCCCAGCGACACGGACUUCCUGGACACGUGGGAGGCCAUGGAGGACCUGGUGGUCACGGGGCUGGUGAGAGCCAUCGGGGUGUCAAACUUCAACCACCAGCAGCUCGAGAGGCUUUUGAAUAAACCCAACCUGAGGUUCAAGCCACUGACGAACCAGGUCGAGUGCCACCCGUAUCUUACCCAGAAGAAUCUGAUCAACUUUUGCCAAUCCAGAGAUGUGACCGUGACAGCCUACCGGCCCCUCGGCGGUUCCAGUGAGGGGGUGGCCCUCCUGGAUGACCCCGUGAUUCAGAGGAUCGCACAGAAGUACAACAGGUCUCCCGCCCAGAUUGUGAUCCGAUUUCAGAUCCAGAGGAAUGUGAUCGUGAUUCCCAAAUCUGUCACCCCAACACGGAUCCGUGAGAAUAUCCAGGAAAGGGUUCUUUUCUUCUUUUAUUCGGAGGGUUUGGGAUCACACGGUAGUCAGCUGGGGGUCUGACCACCGCGCAAGCAGGCCCUGUGUGGCUUUGACGCAGCAGAGGGGCCGGGUGGAGCUGCGGCCACAGCACGAGGAACCCCAGAGUGUGACAGGCACGAACCCAGCCCGGGAGCCGGCGAACAGGAGGUCCCGAACAGCCGGGGUGCCGGCCAGAGGCUCGCAGGGCUGUGGCCCCGAGCCGGGUGCCUGCUCCCCAAGUCUCAGGACCGCUGCGCCCGGCUGCCCAGACCCGGAUUCGUGGGGCCCUUCCAGAACCGAAGGCCGCCCUCCAGUCCGAGCCUCUGCUGACACCGAGCCCUUGGUUUCUGCUAGACCGGGUGGAGGGUCUCCUGUGGGUAGAGGCUGGGCCCGGCCGGUCCCCUCCCGGGGGUCGCUGCACCCUCCCUCCCGGCUCCUCAGCUGGGGACCGGGGCUGGCUCUCCUGUGAGAACAGAUCGUGUUUCAGGAGUGGGGGUCAUAGUCCUCACAGGUAUUAGGAGCAAAGGGGCGCAGCUUAGAAUUCUGCUUUAUGAGGAAAGAAACAAGAAUUACCCUGUGUUCUGGCUACUGUCAGAGCCAGUGGUCCCGGGGACCCAGUGUCCGAGCUGGGAGGGCCUGGGGCACGAAUGUUUCUGGUGUUUCACUUUCAUUUGGUUUUGGAGGGGUUUUUUGGUGUUUUUCAUUUUUGGGGGGGGUUCUUUUUUUGCGUUUUUUGUUUUGUUUUUGAGCGACGGGAAAAAUUCUUUGCUCACCUCCCACCUCUUGAUUCCGGCUCGUCCCUUAUUCCCCUCGGGGUGGGGGGGACUGCAGUACACGUCCUGUCUUUGCAGGGGCUCUCACCCAGCCCAGGGCAGCCAGCGUCAGGCACAGGGUCACAGCCGCAGUUCACGGAGGAAGGCUGAUGAUCCGGGGAAGUUGCAGGUGCCGCGUGCAGUGUUUCUUCCGCAUCUUGUGUCCCCGGCAGGUGUUUGACUUUGAAUUAUCAGAAAGGGACAUGAACGACAUCCUCGACCUGGACAGGAAUUUCCGAAUGUGCACCUUGCCCACAGCUAAAAACCACAAGGACUAUCCUUUCAACAUAGAAUACUGAGCACGGCCUCCCUCUUCCCCCCCUGCCCGGCCCAACGGGUCCAUGAGGCCCGAGCCGAGGCAGGGCUCUGCCAGGGAGGUGGGGGCGACCGGCUUUGACUUGGGCGGAUUCCUGCCUGGAACAGAGCUGCGCUCCCUGAGAGGUCCACACAGUUCCGGCGGUGGGUGAUGGGAAGGGAGCCGCCCUGGGAGCGGUGCUCGCUCUCUGUGGAGAACCCCCCAGUCCUACGGCUCCUUGAGCACAGUGUGACAGGAUUUUGACCAGACAGGCUGUGUGGCGGGCCUCUACCCUCGGAAAAAAGGUUGUAUUAUGGAAAUAUUUAAAUACAGGAUUUGAGACC